rnacentral:rRNA from 1 species
AGCGUAGGUGGCCUAACAUGUCAACUGUGAAAACCCGGAGCUCAACUCCGGACUUGCAGUUGAAACUGGUAGGCUUGAGGACGGUAGAGGAAGACGGAACUGCCAGUGUAGGGGUAAAAUCCUUAGAUAUUGGCAGGAACGCCGGUGACGAAGGUGGUUUUCUGGGCCGGUUCUGACACUGAUGCUCGAAAAGCCAGGGGAGCGAACG